UGUGUUUGUGUCUGACUCUGUGUGUAUCUGACUGUGUUUGUGAGUGUGUGUGUGUUUGUGUCUGACUGUGUGUCUGACUGUGUGUGUGUUUGUCUGACUGUGUUUGUGUCUGUGUAUGUGUCUGACUGUGUGUGUGUUUGUGUCUGACUCUGUGUGUGUCUGACUGUGUUUGUGAGUGUGUGUGUGUUUGUAUCUGACUGUGUUUGUGAGUGUGUGUGUUUGUGUCUGACUCUGUUUGUCUGUUUGUGUAUGUGUGUGUGUGUUUGUGUCUGAC